rnacentral:rRNA from 1 species
CAUGAGUGGCGGACGGGUGAGUAACGCGUGGGCAACCUGCCCUGUACAGGGGGACAACACUUAGAAAUAGGUGCUAAUACCGCAUAACGGGGGGAGCCGCAUGGCACCCCCUGAAAACUCCGGUGGUACAGGAUGGGCCCGCGUCUGAUUAGCUGGUUGGCAGGGUAACGGCCUACCAAGGCGACGAUCAGUAGCCGGCCUGAGAGGGCGGACGGCCACAUUGGGACUGAGACACGGCCCAAACUCCUACGGAAGGCAGCAG